CAGAAGCUUCCCACACCUCUUUUAUAAGGUCACAAAUCUCACUGUGAGAGCCCUCAUGACCUAAUCACCUCCCAAAGUCCCUACCUUCUAAUAAUAUGAGCUUGGUGAUUAGAUUUCAACACAUAAAUUUUGGUAGGAUACAAACAUUCAGAUCAUAGCAGAUAUUCAUGUAUUAUAAUUUGUAUUUUGCCUCUUAAUUUUAAAGAUAAAUUUUGAAUUUUUAGAAGAAAAAUACGCAUUUGAAAGCACUAAAGUUUUAGAUUGGGGGACUUUUAAAUAUUUAUUUUAAUUUAAUUUAUUUGAUGAAAAUACAUUCAAAUUGUGUAUGCUUUAAAUACCAAUAUGUCUUAUUUUUAUAAUCCUUUGAGCAUUACGGUCAAUGAAAUAAAAUCUAGGCUUCUCAUUUUUAUUGGUAGUCAUGCUUUUUUAGUUUUGGCAAUAACAAAAACAAUAUGCUUAUCUUUAAUUAUUUAAAAAAAUUAGAGAACAGAUGAGAAAGUGACUGAAGAGAAUUAUUAUUAUGGUCCUAAUAGGGACUGUAGUUGGAAUUGGGUUUAUUCCAUUCUACUCCAGUGUAUUAGCCUGUUCUCAUGCUGCUAAUAAAGAUAUACCUGAGAUUGGGUAAUUUAUAAAGGAAAAAGGUUUAAUUGGCUCACAGUCACACUCUCCCCAGAGGCAAGCCAUACCAGAAACUAAAAUUCCUCUUCCACAAGGUGACAGUGUGUUGCAGACGUGUUUCCUACUGCUACAGAAAACUCAGCCUCUGCCUGGUCACAUGUGGCAUGGCAGCUUUGAGAACAGAAGCCUGUGAUGAAGCAACUACAGAAAAGAGCCAGGCUUUUGCAUCCUUAAUUUCUGUGCUCCCUUGCGCCAUGGGGAAUGAUCAGCUUUUCUGUGUCUUACAGGCUACUGAAAAGACCACCAUCUUCCCAGGUCUUUAUCUGGUUGUUCAGGACCCAUCUAGGGAGCGUCAGGGGUUGCACAAAAUGGAGAGGGUUUGGAGCAGCGGGGUGCAUCGUAGGAACUUGAGAUGAGGCUUUUGAAGGGCUGGAAGAAGUUGCGGCCUUAAUGCUAGGAAGGGUUUGGGGUUGGUGGAUUUUGUGGGGCCCCAUUGAGAUAUUAUGUUAAUACCUGGGAGAAAGGGGGAGCCCCUGGUUGUAGCAAAGGUUUUCAAGGCAGGGUCUGUGGUUAGCAGGGAGGUGCCCCAUUCAUGCACACUAUGGCAGGUGGUGGGGAGAAGUGCCCUCCUAGGAUAUCCAACCAACACUGGCAGUGGCAGCGACAUGACAAAAGGCGCACCCAAGACAACCACCAUGGGUUAAGGAACAGGCUGCAUCUUUAUUUUUCAGGACCAGCUAAGCUUCCUGUCCUUGUGCCAGUCACUGAAGGGAGCAGAGGGAGCCUGGGCUUAGGGGGCAGGGGAGGAAUAAGCACUCAGAGCUGGGCAUGAGUCAGCUGGAAAGAAACAAAGAAGCGUGUCACUGCCCACACCUUUAAUAAGUGCCUUGGAAUGCUCCCGGCUCUCACAGUGGCGCAUGUUUUACUCUGCAUCCCAUCUGUGGCUUCUAUUGUCUUCUCACACUGUGGGACACUUAAGGAGAUGUGACAGAUGGCUGUGUGUGUGCUCCGUCCC
rnacentral:lncRNA from 1 species